rnacentral:rRNA from 1 species
GACGAACGCUGGCGGCGUGCUUAACACAUGCAAGUCGAACGGAAAGGCCCUGUACUUGUGGGGUGCUCGAGUGGCGAAAAGGUGAGUGUAACGUGAGUAACCUGCCCUUGACUUUGGGAUACCUUAAGGAAACUGGAGCGAAUACAGGACAUGAGCUCCUGCUGCAUGGUGGGGGUUGGAGAGAUUCGGCGGUUCGGGAUGCACGCGCGGCUUAGCAGCUUGUUGGUGGGGUAGUGGCUUAGAAGGGCAUUGACGGGUAGCCGGCCUGAGAGGGUGACCGGCCACAUUGGGCCUGAGGUAGGAGCCAGACUGCUACGUGGGGCAUCAGUGGGGGAUAGUGCAAGAUGCGCGGAAGCCGGAUGCAGCAACGCCGGGUGCGAGAUGACGGCUUUCGGGUUGUAAACCGCUUGCGCCUGUGACGAAGCGUGAGUGACGGUAAUGGGUAAAGAAGCACCGGCUAACUACGUG